AGCAUAUAAUUAAUUACGCGAAAUCGUAGAUUAGUUUGGAUGAAUGCUGUGCUCGGAUGUUGUCGAAUUUAAGAUUAUUCUGGCAGAUACAGCAAGUGCAUGGCCAAUGCAUCAAAUAGUAUACGAUUCAACAGAUUAGGCUUAAUAUGGUUGACUGACCAGUGAAGAGCUCAGAUUUACCAUCCUUUUCAUAUCGACGUUUGGUCUAGGGCUGUUCUUGACUGCUUUUGGCAUGCAAAUUACUUCAUUAAUGAC